UACGGAAGGUGCAAGCGUUAAUCGGAAUUACUGGGCGUAAAGAGCGUGUAGGCGGCCAUGUAGGUCCGGUGUGAAAACUCGAGGCUUAACCUCGAGAUGUCAUCGGAAACCAUUUGGCUAGAGUCCGGAAGAGGAGAGUGGAAUUCUCGGUGUAGAGGUGAAAUUCGUAGAUAUCGAGAGGAACACCGGUGGCGAAGGCGGCCAACUGGACGAAUACUGACGCUGAGACUCGAAAGCGUGGGGAGCAAACAGG
rnacentral:rRNA from 1 species